UGAAGACAGGGUAUUUAUUAAAAAACAGACAAGAAGGAAGAACAGUAAAAAGUUUUUUUUAUGUAAGCAUUUUGCAAUUUUAUGCAAUCAUUAGGCCUUUUCAAAUACGUCAUUUUUGAGUUGGUAAGUAAUAAGUACAUUUCAAAAAACUUAAAUUUGUGCUGUGGUAAACACUCUAUAUCUUCUGAACCAAUUCAUCUAUUUUGAAUUUUAAAAUUCAAACUUUUAAAUUUUCAACAUUCAGUCGGAAUAGCCUAAUUUCGAAGAAUAAAUAGUAAUUAUUUCGACAAAUAAGAGGGCUACAAAAGAAAGAACAUAAUAUUCGUGAUCCUUGAAGAAUUCUCUUCAGGAUGGCAUUCUUAUUGAAAAACAAUCAAAAUGUGGUUAAUCCGUUCGCAUCCAACGCAUCCAACAUUGCAUCUAUACUUCGUUGUUGCAUCCUAAUCGCAUCCUAACCUCAGUUCGAUUAUUAUUGCUUGAAAUAUAAAAGCAUUAUGGGGAGUGCAUCGAAGAUAUAAAGAAGAUCGGGGAUGAUUCAAUGAUGCGGUGUGGGACAAGAUAUUGUCUUCAAAAAGUUAACUGACUAAUUUUGACUUGCAUUAGGGAUUUUGCAUCUGAGUUUGAAAUCGUAGGAGGAUCAUUCUUGCAUCAGAUUGACUAGUUUUUGCUGCUUUUAGGGAUUUUGCACCUGAGUCUGACCUCGUAUAAGGAUCAUUCGUGCAUCAGAUUGGACUUUACACCUGAGUCUGACAACGUAGAAGGACCAUUCUUGCAUCAGAUUGGAUUUUGCACCUGAGUCUGACAUCGUAGGAGGACCAUUUUUACAUCAGAUUGGAUUUUGGACCUGAGUCUGAAAACGUAGAAGGACCAUUCUUGCAUCAGAUUGGAUUUUGCACCUGAGUCUGAAAACGUAGGAGGACCAUUCUUGCAUCAGAUUGGAUUUUGCAUCUGAGUCUGACAUUGCAGAAGGACCAUUCCUGGAUUACAUUAUGAAUAUUAUUUUUCUUUAUUAUUAUCUUAAAUAACUUUUGUGAUUAUUACACAAAUUGACUCCAAAAAUAUAUGCUUGUGUGUUUUCUUUAAUAAAGAAUAUUUUUAAGUUUUUUAAA